GACGAACGCUGGCGGCGUGCUUAACACAUGCAAGUCGAACGGAAAGGCCCUGCUUUUGUGGGGUGCUCGAGUGGCGAACGGGUGAGUAACACGUGAGUAACCUGCCCUUGACUUUGGGAUAACUUCAGGAAACUGGGGCUAAUACCGGAUAGGAGCUCCUGCUGCAUGGUGGGGGUUGGAAAGUUUCGGCGGUUGGGGAUGGACUCGCGGCUUAUCAGCUUGUUGGUGGGGUAGUGGCUUACCAAGGCUUUGACGGGUAGCCGGCCUGAGAGGGUGACCGGCCACAUUGGGACUGAGAUACGGCCCAGACUACUACGGGAGGCAGCAGUGGGGAAGAUUGCACAAUGGGCGGAAGCCUGAUGCAGCAACGCCGCGUGCGGGAUGACGGCCUUCGCGUUGUAAACCGCUUUCGCCUGUGACGAAGCGUGAGUGACGGUAAUGGGUAAAGAAGCACCGGCUAACUACGUG
rnacentral:rRNA from 1 species